GAUGAACGCUGGCGGCGUGCCUAAUACAUGCAAGUCGAGCGAACAGACGAGGAGCUUGCUCCUCUGACGUUAGCGGCGGACGGGUGAGUAACACGUGGAUAACCUACCUAUAAGACUGGGAUAACUUCGGGAAACCGGAGCUAAUACCGGAUAAUAUAUUGAACCGCAUGGUUCAAUAGUGAAAGACGGGUUUGCUGUCACUUAUAGAUGGAUCCGCGCCGCAUUAGCUAGUUGGUAAGGUAACGGCUUACCAAGGCAACGAUGCGUAGCCGACCUGAGAGGGUGAUCGGCCCCACUGGAGCUGGACCACGGUCCAGACUCCUACGGGCGGCAGCAGUAGGUACUCUUCCGCAAUGGGCGAAAGCCUGCCGGAGCAACGCCGCGUGAGUGAUGAAGGUCUUCGGAUCGUAAAACUCUCUUAUUAGGGAAGACCAAAUGUGUAAGUAACUAUGCACGUCUUGACGGUACCUAAUCAGAAAGCCACGGCUAACUACGUG
rnacentral:rRNA from 1 species